AUAACGCUGUUAUCCCUAAGGUAAUUUAUUUUUAUUCAAUAAUUAUUGGUUAAUUAAAUCUUUUCAUU
rnacentral:tRNA from 1 species